rnacentral:rRNA from 1 species
AUUGAACGCUGGCGGCAGGCUUAACACAUGCAAGUCGAGCGGGGAAGAGUAGCUUGCUACUUUACCUAGCGGCGGACGGGUGAGUAAUGCUUAGGAAUCUGCCUAUUAGUGGGGGACAACAUCUCGAAAGGGAUGCUAAUACCGCAUACGUCCUACGGGAGAAAGCAGGGGACCUUCGGGCCUUGCGCUAAUAGAUGAGCCUAAGUCGGAUUAGCUAGUUGGUGGGGUAAAGGCCUACCAAGGCGACGAUCUGUAGCGGGUCUGAGAGGAUGAUCCGCCACACUGGGACUGAGACACGGCCCAGACUCCUACGGGAGGCAGCAGUGGGGAAUAUUGGACAAUGGGGGGAACCCUGAUCCAGCCAUGCCGCGUGUGUGAAGAAGGCCUUUUGGUUGUAAAGCACUUUAAGCGAGGAGGAGGCUACCGAGAUUAAUACUCUUGGAUAGUGGACGUUACUCGCAGAAUAAGCACCGGCUAACUCUGUG